UGAGAAAUGAAAACUUCCAGUCUCACGGC
rnacentral:piRNA from 1 species